rnacentral:rRNA from 1 species
UACGUAGGGUGCAAGCGUUAAUCGGAAUUACUGGGCGUAAAGGGCGCGUAGGCGGGUCGUUUAGUUAGAGGUGAAAGCCCAGGGCUCAACCCUGGAAUUGCCUUUAAUACUGGCGGCCUUGAGUAUGGCAGAGGUGUGUGGAACUCCGAGUGUAGAGGUGAAAUUCGUAGAUAUUCGGAAGAACACCGGUGGCGAAGGCGGCGACCUGGUCCGUGACUGACGCUGAGGCGCGAAAGCGUGGGGAGCAAACAGG